GAACCCUGACAGACGUGCUGCUGGAACAGACAAUCCUGUGGAUUUCAGUGAGUGAACACAGCAGAGUUGAUGUCUUGCCCAGGGAGCAGCCCAGCUCCAGGGUUCCUUGCCAGGGGCCAGUUUUUCCCUAUGUGGUGAUUCAAAGACCCAGGCUUCUCUCAUCCUAUGGUCCACUUUCCUCCAGGCCUCUGAGUCCUUGAUGUCCAGCCUGCAGAAAGGAGAGUGAGAGUAGAGAAGGCACCUCUUCUUACCCACUUUGGCCUGAUGAGACACGCAUCAUAUCCACUCACUUUUCUCUGCUGGAAACCAGUCACAUGACUCCAUCAAGAAGGAUGAGGGGGCUGGGAAACGUGGUCCUGGACAGGAAAGCCACUUCCAAACAAAAACUCUCAUCUUCAGAAAAGGAAACAAGACUGAUAGCUACCCGUCUUUUUCGUGAACACUCACUUUCUUAUGUGUAUUUUUAGGAAGAUCUACUCCACCUCAAGCUGUAAUUCCUUUUUUGUGUUUUCUUGGGUGCAUUUGUUUCCUUCUGAGAUGACACAGAGCCUCUUCUGUCAUUUUCCUGAGUGGUUGACUUCACAUCGUUAGACUUUGCACAGAUCGAAAAUCGAACAAGAAAAGCAAGGCUGGAUCCCACAGAGGCGGAACACAUUACUGCGUGUGCAAGGAGCAGGAGGCGAGGUCGGCGCAGUGGGUGUUCAGAAGAAGGAAAGACUUGAGCUGUUACGUCCAGAGAAAGCAUUUCUGGAAGAAGAGUGCUUGACGGAGGCCUUAGCGAUUUGGAUGCCUCCUGUCUGUACGUGGCGAGAGCGAUGGAGACAGAUAGUCGAUGCAUCCAGCUGCAAGAGGAAGCAGUAGCUUAAGUCAAAUCAGUGUUUGUCUACUGAGCACCCGGGCUAAGGACACCUUCAGUCGGGAACAAGCAAGUAAAGCAUUGCCCUUGAGGAGCGUAUCAUCAGGCUGACUGUUUUGGACGAGGCUUUUUGGUGUCAGGGAACAGAAGGCCCCUUGGACUGGCUUAUGCAAAACCAAGGCUUCAUUAUAAGCAGGAAAAGGAAAGCUGCUGGGUCUCAGCAAGAAACUGAAACCAAGAACUGAGGUCAGCAGAUAGCAGUGUGGUUCUCCUUGUGGGUCCCGUCUCUUGCUGCUGCUUUUCCUCGGAGUUUCUACUUCAUGCUCCCUCCCUGCUGACACAUUGUGCGAGCUUAAGACCAGCUGAAACUGCUCAUCAUGCCUGUGAGAUCACCUCUUCCCUUCCAGGGGAACAGAGUUUUCACUGGGCACAAGGCUGUCUAGGGGAAGGCUGUGCUUCCAUAUGCCUCCCUUGCUUUUCAUUGCAACUGCCGACGAGGCUCUGGCCGAGGCGAUGCGGACAGAAGUGACAUAGUGGACAGCUGCCAGGUAGUGCUCUUACACAGAAGGGAGUGAGCGCCUCUCUUCCUUUUCCGUCCUUGCUGCCGAGGUGUGGCUGAGGAGGGCAGAGCUGAAGCCAUGUCUUCGACCUGGAGGUGGAAGCUGCCAGUAGGACAUGGCAGAGAUGCUGGGUAGAGGGGGCUGCGGUGUCCAGUCACUCUGUGGAGCCAUCAGAUGAGCCUUGACUGCUUGGGUUCAGACCUUUUUAGGAAAGAGAAACAUGCUUUCGUCUGUUUAGCUGGUGUUCUGUUGGAUCUUUGAGGAGCCUGGAGCCUAACAAAUGAACUCGCUUUCUCUGCUUUUCUGAAUUGGAAAAUGACCACCUUACAGCUUCUAAGUUUAUAAGACCUAAGUUGAAAUGACCAACCAAGGGUCCCAUAACCCAAGCAAAAGACUCGACUGCCUGUUAGGGUCUUCUCAUCAGCAAAACUGAGUGGGGAGAGUUCUAGGAUACAGGCCUAGCUGCCGGGCCCACCCCAGGGGCAGGGCGAAGGGCAGGGUGUCCUCAGAGAGGGCCACCUGCUUUAUUGACCUGGGCUUCAGUGCUGAGGCUAACCCUUGCUAGAGGCGUGUGUGUGUCUCAUUUUAUAAUGUAUCACCUGUAAACAGAAGGCAUCUGCAUUAAGCCGAUUAGUGAGUCAGAGGGAAGCUCAGAAAAUGGAAGGGAACCCAGCACACCCUCCCCAUUAGUCAGGCCUCUUGUGGGAGGUGGACCUGUGCGCCGACACAGAUCCUCCAAAGCUGCUUGUUCUGCUGAGGGGGAUGACAGCCCCAUGCAGAGAAGAAGGCUCUUCAGUCGAGUAUUUGAGGAGCUGUGUUCCCUUCUAGACCCUCAAACCAGGCAUAGCAAUGCUGAGGUGAUUUUGGUAGGUAGGGGAGAGUUGGGGGUGAAAGGAAGGGAUGUCGGGAGUUCCCGUCGUGGCUCAGUGGUUAACGAGCCCGACUAGUAACCAUGAGGUUGCAGGUUCCAUCCCGGGCCUUGCUCAGUGGGUUAAGGAUCCGGUGUUGCUGUGAGCUGUGGUGUAGGUCUUGGACUCGGCUUCUGAUCCCGCAUUGCUGUGGCUCUGGUGUAGGCCAGUGGCUACAGCUCCGAUUCGACCCCUAGCCUGGGAACAUCCAUAUGCCGCGGGAGCGGCCCUAAAAAAGACAAAAAGACCAAAAAAAAAAAAAAAAAA
rnacentral:lncRNA from 1 species